GGGCUGUAGCACUGCAUAGCAGCCCUUUCACAGACUGGCAGUCAUGAGGUCGAGGGUUCGAACCCCUCCAGGUCCACCA
rnacentral:tRNA from 1 species